rnacentral:rRNA from 1 species
CAGGGUACUCGAGUGGCGAACGGGUGAGUAACACGUGGGUGAUCUGCCCUGCACUUCGGGAUAAGCCUGGGAAACUGGGUCUAAUACCGGAUAGGAGCCAUUUUUAGUGUGAUGGUUGGAAAGUUUUUUCGGUGUAGGAUGAGCUCGCGGCCUAUCAGCUUGUUGGUGGGGUAAUGGCCUACCAAGGCGGCGACGGGUAGCCGGCCUGAGAGGGUGGACGGCCACAUUGGGACUGAGAUACGGCCCGG